rnacentral:rRNA from 1 species
UACCGAGUUUACAACUCCCAAACCCCUGUGAACAUACCUUAUGUUGCCUCGGCGGAUCAGCCCGCGCCCCGUAAAAAGGGACGGCCCGCCGCAGGAACCUUAAACUCUGUUUUUAGUGGAACUUCUGAGUAUAAAAAACAAAUAAAUCAAAACUUUCAACAACGGAUCUCUUGGUUCUGGCAUCGAUGAAGAACGCAGCAAAAUGCGAUAAGUAAUGUGAAUUGCAGAAUUCAGUGAAUCAUCGAAUCUUUGAACGCACAUUGCGCCCGCCAGUAUUCUGGCGGGCAUGCCUGUUCGAGCGUCAUUUCAACCCUCAAGCCCAGCUUGGUGUUGGGAGCUGCAGUCCUGCUGCACUCCCCAAAUACAUUGGCGGUCACGUCGAGCUUCCAUAGCGUAGUAAUUUACAUAUCGUUACUGGUAAUCGUCGCGGCCACGCCGUUAAACCCCAACUUCUGAAUGUUGACCUCGGAUCAGGUAGGAAUACCCGCUGAACUUAAGCAU